rnacentral:rRNA from 1 species
AUACGUAGGGAGCAAGCGUUGUCCGGAAUUACUGGGCGUAAAGGGCGUGUAGGCGGCCGAUCAAGUCAGGUGUGAAAUUUCAGGGCUCAACCCUGAGCGUGCACUUGAAACUGGUUGGCUUGAGUGCAGAAGAGGAAAGUGGAAUUCCCAGUGUAGCGGUGAAAUGCGUAGAUAUUGGGAGGAACACCAGUGGCGAAGGCGACUUUCUGGUCUGUAACUGACGCUGAGGCGCGAAAGCUAGGGGAGCGAACAGGAUUAGAUACCCUGGUAGUCCUAGCCGUAAACGAUGGGUACUAGGUGUAGGGGGUUUAGACGCCCUCUGUGCCGCAGUUAACACAUUAAGUACCCCGCCUGGGGAGUACGGCCGCAAGGCUGAAACUUAAAGGAAUUGACGGGG